rnacentral:precursor_RNA from 1 species
GAGGGCCCUGUGUGCUGGUGUAGAUGCGGCAGCACCACCACCCCCGG